GCCACCUUAGCUCAGUCGGUAGAGCAGGAGACUGAAAAUCCCCGUGUCGCUGGUUCAAAUCCGGCAGGUGGCA
rnacentral:tRNA from 1 species